CUAAGCGUCAUGAGCAUGGAAGGCCGAUAGGCCUGGAAUGCGAAUGACGGCGGCGAUUGCGAAAGGGCGAAGCCCGAAGCAAUCG
rnacentral:sRNA from 1 species